GUUUUUCCAGUGCUUCUCCAGAGCACUGAAGCCCUUUGGAGUGCGGCUGCCAGCGAGGUCACCGAUCCUCCCUGGACCACUCCUCUCCUUGCUGGGCUGUGGGAUGCACAAGGAUUUGUGGCACAAGGAUAUUUGGCAGAGCUUCAGCAGCUCCUUGGCUGUGGCCAGGCACUGGCAGGGAUGAGCUGAGCUCAGCUGAGCCCUCUGAGAGCAGAAUCCUUUCAUCCCAUCUCCGUUUGAAGGUAGAGAGAGCUCAGGAUGGCUCUGCUGCUGCAGAGUGAGAUGGUGAAAUCUCCACAUCUUCUUCUGGCCACCCCAGUGAUGUCACAAUUGUCACCACACUGACAGGUUUUUGGGGUUCACAGAACCCCUGGCUGGUCUCAGCCUGGCUAAAACCCCCGAAGCUGUUCUGACCCAGGGCUUGUCUGACCCCCAGCUCAGAAACCACCUCUCCAUCCCUUCCUGUGCCCCUCCACCUGGCAGGAUGCACCUCAACACUUCUCUUCCCACCUUUCUGAGAGGAAAAAGGCACUGGAGCUGCUGGGCUGCCCAGGGAUGUGUGAGGGCAGAGUCACAAAAACAAAUGUUCCCAUCAGAGCAGGUGACAAGUGCCAGGAGCAGAUGGCACCACCACUCCUCUCAUUACUUUUAUUGUAAAAGGGAGAAGAGCAAAGGCUUCAGGGGCAGCAAAGGCCUGCAAAUUGCACGUUCUGGCCAGAAAUUAAAAAGAACCUCUCGCUGAAGCCUUUCAUCAUGAAGUGUUCAUCACUUUGGAGUGUCUCCUAAGGUCAAGAGCAUUUUGCCAGAGCCAUUCAUCAGCCAAGCUCCUGGUGUGUUCUGCAGGGCUGUCCCUCAGGAGCCGAGGUCAGGCAGGAAUACCCCGGUGAGGUGACCUGCUCAUUACUCUGGGAAGCAGCUUUUUGUCAAUGAAUGGCCCUCAGUGAGCAUUUAAUUUGGAUUUAAUAAGGCAUCUAAUGUUUGUUUAAAAGGACACUGUACCUUCAAGGUGUUUGUCAUAAUUGGAUGGAGGAUAUUUAGCCACAGUGUUUAUUAAUAAACCCCUUCAGAAGAUGGAAAUUGAAAGCA
rnacentral:lncRNA from 1 species